AAAAUUAAGAGUUUGAUCCUGGCUCAGAAUGAAGGCUAGUGGUAUGCCUAACACAUGCAAGUCAAAUGGCCUUUUAAGCGAAAUGGCGAACGGGUGCCUAGUGCGCGGGAAUCUACUCUACAAUCUGGAAUAAGUAUCUCUUCUUUAGGGAAGAGAGUGUUUUUCUUAGAAAAACAGUACUAAUACCAGAUACCCAAAGAUUAAAUUUGUUGUAGUAUGAGCCUUCGUAAGAUUAGGUAGUUGGUGAGGUAAAGGCUCACCAAGCCUACGAUCUUUAGCUGAUCUGAGAGGACGAUCAGCCACACUGGGACUGAGACACGGCCCAGACUCCCUCGGGAGGCAGCAGUGAGGAAUAUUGGACAAUGGGCUAACGCUUGAUCCAGCAAUACUACGUGGGUGAUGACGACUAUUUGGUUGUAAAGCCCUUUCAUCGAGGAGGAAAAUGACAGUACUCGAAGAAGAAGUCCCGGCUAACUCCGUGCCAGCAGCCGCGGUAAUACGGGGGGGACGAGUCUUAUUCGGAAUGACUGGGCGUAAAGGGUCUGUAGGCUGUCCAUUAAGUGAAAUGCAAAAGAUUAGGGCUCAACCCUAAAAAGAUAUUUCAAACUGAUGGACUAGAGUUCGAAAGGGGAUAGUAGAAUUUCUAGUGGAGGAAUAAAAUCCCAAGAUAUUAGAAGGAAUACCAGAGGCGAAGGCGACUAUCUGGAUCGAUACUGACGCUGAGAGACGAAAGCAUGGGGAGCGAACGGGAUUAGAUACCCCGGUAGUCCAUUGCUGUAAACGAUGAGUGCUCGUGCUUAGGGUUUAUUCUUAGGCACCAAGCUAACGCAUUAAGCACUCCGCCUGGGGAGUAUAAUCGCAAGGUUGAAACUCAAAGGAAUUGACGGGGGCCCACACAAGCGGUGGAGCAUGUGGUUUAAUUCGACAAUACGCGCAGAACCUUACCAGCUCUUGACAUAUACUGGGAUCUUUUUGAGAGAAAGGAUUUUCAUCGGUAUACAGGUGUUGCAUGGCUGUCGUCAGCUCGUGUCGUAAGAUGUUGGGUUAAGUCCUUUAACGAGCGCAACCCCUAUAAUUAGUUGCUAACCGAAAAAUCGGUGCACUCUAGUUAGACUGCUAGUUAGAAGCUGGAGGAAGGUGGGGAUGACGUCAAGUCCUCAUGGCCCUUAUGGGCUGGGCUACACACGUGCUACAAUGGUAACUACAAAGGGAAGCAAUAAGGACACUUGGAGCAAAACCUUAAAAGUUAUCUCAGUUCGGAUUGUAGGCUGCAACUCGCCUACAUGAAGUUGGAAUCGCUAGUAAUCGUAGAUCAGCAUGCUACGGUGAAUUCGUACCUGGGCCUUGUACACACCGCCCGUCACAUUUUGGGAGUAGGUUCUACCUGAUAUAAAAGAACUAACCUUUGGACUAACCUUUCGUCAAAAGACGUUAGGUAAUUAGCUCUUAGGCAGAAACUUACUAGGGAAGGGCACGCGACUGAAAUGAAGUCGUAACAAGGUAACUGUAGGGGAACCUGCAGUUGGAAUAACUUCUAU
rnacentral:rRNA from 1 species